GACGAACGCUGGCGGCGUGCUUAACACAUGCAAGUCGAACGAGACGAUUGAAAGCUUGCUUUUAAAAGUCGAGUGGCAAACGGGUGAGUAACGCGUAGACAACCUGCCUUUGAGAUGGGGACAACAGUGCGAAAGGACUGCUAAUACCGAAUGUUGUAUAUUUUCCACAUGGAAGAUAUAUUAAAGAUGGCCUCUAUUUAUAAGCUAUCGCUCAAAGAUGGGUCUGCGUCGGAUUAGCUGGUUGGUGGGGUAACGGCCUACCAAGGCGACGAUCAGUAGCCGGUCUGAGAGGAUGAACGGCCACAUUGGGACUGAGACACGGCCCAGACUCCUACGGGAGGCAGCAGUGGGGAAUCUUCCACAAUGGACGAAAGUCUGAUGGAGCAACGCCGCGUGAGUGAAGAAGGGUUUCGGCUCGUAAAGCUCUGUUGUCGGGGACGAAUGUGCAGUAUUUGAAUAAAGUACUGCAAUGACGGUACCUGACGAGGAAGCCACGGCUAACUACGUGCCAGCCGCCGCCGUAA
rnacentral:rRNA from 1 species